rnacentral:rRNA from 1 species
CUUCGCAAUGCGCGAAAGCGUGACGAGGUUAAUCCGAGUGGCCCCCGCUGAGGGGGUCUUUUGUCAGCUGUAAAUAGGCAGGCGAAUAAGGGGAGGGCAAGCCUGGUGUCAGCCGCCGCGGUAAUACCAGCUCCUCGAGUGGUCGGGGCGAUUAUUGGGCCUAAAGCAUCCGUAGCCGGUUCCGUAGGUCCUCUGUUAAAUCCAUCAGCUUAACUGAUGACCUGCAGAGGAUACCGCGGGACUAGGAGGCGGGAGAGGCGGACGGUACUCCGCGUGUAGGGGUAAAAUCCUUUGAUCCGCGGAAGACCACCAGUGGCGAAGGCGGUCCGCCAGAACGCGCUCGACGGUGAGGGAUGAAAGCUGGGGGAGCGAACCGGAUUCGCUACCCGGGUAGUCCC